rnacentral:rRNA from 1 species
GCUCAGGAUGAACGCUAGCUACAGGCUUAACACAUGCAAGUCGAGGGGCAGCAUGGUCUUAGCUUGCUAAGGCCGAUGGCGACCGGCGCACGGGUGAGUAACACGUAUCCAACCUGCCGUCUACUCUUGGACAGCCUUCUGAAAGGAAGAUUAAUACAAGAUGGCAUCAUGAGUCCGCAUGUUCACAUGAUUAAAGGUAUUCCGGUAGACGAUGGGGAUGCGUU